UACGUAGGUGGCAAGCGUUGUCCGGAAUUAUUGGGCGUAAAGCGCGCGCAGGUGGUCCUUUAAGUCUGAUGUGAAAGCCCACGGCUCAACCGUGGAGGGUCAUUGGAAACUGGGGGACUUGAGUGCAGAAGAGGAAAGUGGAAUUCCAAGUGUAGCGGUGAAAUGCGCAGAUAUCAGGAAGAACACCCGUGGCUAAGGCGGCUCUCUAGUACGGUACUGACGCUGAGACGCGAAAGCGUGGGGAGCGAACAGG
rnacentral:rRNA from 1 species